AGAAGCUGGUCAGGGUCCUUGGCUAAGAGGACACUCUGCCUUGGGCCUGCCGGUGUAUCACUAUCUGCGCCAUCCUUCUGAGUUUUGGUUUUCUGAGUAUGAGGCAUGUGAGAUCUUAGCUACCCAACCAGGGAUGGAAUCCCAUACACACUUCAUUGGAAAGUGAAAUCUCAGCCACUGGACCACCAGCAGGACUGCUAAAAUUCAUCUUGGAAACCUGUUGUGAGGGUUGGAAACUGCGCACAAUGACUACAGGAGUACCUGACAUCGAAGGGGGUCAUUAGGUUUCUAGUUGGAAUUGGACUAGGAUAAGCAGGUCAAGCUCUAAUACUUCCAUGACCAGAAGGCACGCUAUUUGCAAGUGUGGGAUGAAUUUUUACCACAAAAGUACAAUGCACAAAGCAGAGAAAGGAUCAAGUGAAGAUGCAAGAUCACACAUCUUAAAGGAG
ensembl:lncRNA